rnacentral:lncRNA from 1 species
UUAUAUUAAUAAAAGAAGGAUUCCACAAUAAGAUUAUCCCUCCACAAUGACCAAGGGCAUGGAUACAAAAGAAACCAUCAAAACCAAGCCUCUGAGCAAUAACCUCAGCUCUAACCCUAGAGGCUUUGGAAUCCAAAAUACAGAAAAUAUUCAAACUAGACGUACUAAUAUAAAAAAGGGCUUGCAAAAUAAAGCCAGGCCAACCACUGCCUUGACUAUUCCAGGAUAACAGCUUCAUGGAUUGGGGCUAUGGGUGUUACCAACCGAGGGUUUAGUCUCCCUCAGAUACUCUCCAUGCAUCUCAACACUUGGAGCAUAAUUCUCUUCCACUUCCACCUCAUCACGAGUUCUCUUCUUAGGACUCUUGUAAGCGAAACCAGUGAAGGCACUGCUGCCUUCUUGGGAAUGAACAGGGGCAAUCACAACAGCCCUACCCUUCCCCUUGCUAAUAUGGUCAGCUGGAGAAAACUUAACCCCAACAUCACGAGACCCACCUCCUUCAAUAAAUUUGAUUCCCUUAGCAACUUCUUUAAAAGUUCUCCCAUCCCUUUCUUGCAUUUUUGCUUUGCCUUUACAAUUAGCCACAACCGUCCACCCCGGGUCCUGCACCUCAGUGGGCACCUUCUCACCCUGGUCAGAAUUUUCCUCCGCAAAAUAGUCCACAUUUAUAGGCUGUGGGAACACCAGUAUAACAUCAUCAGCUAGUUUUUGUUGCUCUUCAAACUCAAGGACUCAGUCCCUAAGGAACACAUUAGAUUCGUUCUCUAAAAUUUCAACCUGCAUGGCCACAUAACUUUCCGGCUAAAGAGUGGGAAACCUUUCUCUUGUUACAUGAAUCCAAUUUUCAUUUCAUCCGGGAAAAGCCAUCAGAAAGCUUUUGUUUGAAAUUUUGACAAGGCAAAUGUGAUCGCGCUCCAUCUUCUGGCUACAAUAAAAACAGAUCGCAAAAAGGGCUUCAUAGCUAACAAAUAUUAUGGUUUCCUGGGGAUGCUCACCUAGAACUAGGCAUCUUUUUAGGGGCCUAGUUAGGUCUAACACAAGGUGAGCUCUAACAAACAUACUCUGUUUACCCUCCAUAGACUGCAGGUCCACACUAAUAGGAUCCCAAGGAUAGAGACCAAAUCAUGGAGAACCUCAGGGUCUUUGUAAUGGAGGGGCAGAAAGGGAAUUCUGACCCAGCCCACAAUGGAUGUCACAACAGCAUGGAAGGGUGAGAAAUCUGGGGUCCAGCGCUCCAGGACAAAAAUCUGACCUUGGACAAACCAGGGUCUGUUAUCCAAAACGAAAGAAACAUCAGCUUCAGCAUUGAACUCCACCUUAUACCGACCAAUAUGGUCAAUAGAGACCUCACCCUGCAGGUUCUUCCACUCACUCUUGAGCCUAUGCCUGAUAACUCUGCUAUUCACAGGAACUCCAAAGACUUUCCCCACCAAGCAGAAAGUCUCAUUGAGUUUGGACACUAGACGCAAGAGCAGAGGUGGAGACUUUGG